rnacentral:lncRNA from 1 species
GCAAGGUGACCGUUUGGAUGCUAAGAUCAACAAAGCUGAAAAAGAAAUCUUUGCUCUAGAAAACACCUUGCAAGUGUUGAACAGCUGCAACAGAAAUUACAAACAAUCUUUUAAGAAAGUGACUCCUUCCAGUGAUGAGUAUCACUUAAAAACUCAACUAGAAGAACAAAGAAGAGCUGCAGAUGAAAAAUACAGAUAUAAACAGAGACAAAUUAGAGAACUUGAAGAAGACAUUCGGGUAAAUUCUAUAUGUUCAUUAGAAAUAAACAGCUGAUAAAAACCAACUGUCAUUAUUACUUCUAGUCUCUUAAGCUUGUACAAUGAAGAUAGUAACUUACAGGCUCUUUAGGGAGAUAAGGGAUAUGAGUAAUUUAAAGGGACUCACAUUUGUCUCAUUUAAAUAAGUGAUGACUAUAUUAGGUAAAUCAGUUAAAAUCCCAUUGCUAAGCACUGAAAAUUAUUUAUUAGUUGAUGGAUUACAACUAGCAAAUUAUCAGCUAUUCACCAAUUUAAUACCUAGUUAACGAACUUUUAAUAUCUUAAGGAUCACAUUAAGAUUGCUUCUUAAAGUUUUAAAGAUAAACAUAACCUAGAGGAAAUCAUGGAAAGACAAAAGAACAUGCUUUAUAAGCAAGCCCUAUCUGUAAAAACGUUUUUUUACAAAGAAAGUUGAAAGAACAUGAUAUAAAUUGUGAAUCUGAAAAAUGCAUUUAACUAUUUUUUUCUUCUAAGUGAGUACCAUUAAAAUAGUUUUCAGUGGAAUUAUAUACAAAACUUAAUCCACAAGAGCAUUACACUGAUUUAGCCACUAAAUGUAUCAAGGUAUUAUUAUAAGAUGUAUCAAGGUAUUAUUACAAGAAUAAAUGAAUUAUGCAAAUACAUGACAAAUGGAAAAGGAGAAGUCAGCUUUUUAUUCUAAUCAGUAUGUUAAAACUUUUCUGCAGAGCAUGGAAAACACUUUACAACUUACAGAAUAUUUAGCAAAUAAGGCCAAAGAAAAAUUAUCAGAAAAGCAAGCUCUUGCAGCUCACCUACAUAAAGAAACUGAGGAGCAGAAGCCAAAAUUACAGAGAGUGACUAAACAGUGUGCAAAACUCACAAAAAACAUACGUCUUUUGAAACAAACAAAAGAUGAAACGCCAGAAGAACAAGACAUUAAACUUCGUGAAGUAAAGCAAUUUCAUAAAGUCAUUGAUGAAAUGUUAGCUGACUGUAUAGAAGAAAAUGCUGCUAUCCGUUUUACCCUUUCAAACAUACUUCAAGCAGUAAUCUAUACAGUAUUUUUUUUUUUUUUUGGUAUUGGGAAUUGA